rnacentral:tRNA from 1 species
GGACGUGUAUCUCAGUGGUAGAGCACUUGCCUAGCAUAUGUAAGGUCCUGGGUUCAAUCCCCAGUACCACCA